rnacentral:rRNA from 1 species
UACGUAGGGUGCAAGCGUUGUCCGGAAUUAUUGGGCGUAAAGAGCGUGUAGGCGGCCCGACCAGUCCGCUGUGAAAGUCCAGGGCUCAACCCUGGAAUGCCGGUGGAUACUGUCGGGCUAGAGUCCGGAAGGGGCGAGUGGAAUUCCGUGGUGUAGCGGUGAAAUGCGCAGAUAUCAGGAGGAACACCAAUGGCGAAGGCAGCUCGCUGGGACGUGACUGACGCUGAGACGCGAAGCGUGGGAGCAAACAGG